CCCUAUGAAUAAGCCACGGCUAACUCUGUGCCAGCAGCCGCGGUAAGACAGAGGUGGCAAGCGUUGUUCGGAAUUACUGGGCUUAAAGGGCGCGUAGGUGGUGGCAUAAGUCCGAAGUGGAACACUAAGGCUUACCCUUAGAAUUGCCUAGGAAACUGUAUCACUUGAGUCAGCGAGGGGAUGGCGGAAUUCCAGGUGUAGCGGUGAAAUGCGUAGAUAUCUGGAGGAAGGCCGGUGGCGAAGGCGGCCAUCUGGCGCUGAACUGACACUGAGGCGCGAAAGCGUGGGGAGCAAACAGGAUUAGAUACUCGGGUAGUCCACGCCCUAAACGGUGGGUAUUAGGUGUAGGGCUCGCAAGGGUUCUGUGCCGUANGGAAACCAUUAAGUACCGCGCCUGGGGAGUACGACCGCAAGGUUGAAACUCAAAGGAAUAGACGGGGGGCCGGCACAAGCGGUGGAGCAUAUGGUUUAAUUCGACGCAACGCGAAGAACGUUACCUGGGCUUGACAUGUUA
rnacentral:rRNA from 1 species